ensembl:snRNA U2 U2 spliceosomal RNA
AUUGCUUCUCAGCCUUUUGGCUAAGAUUUAAGUGUAGUAUCUGUUCUUACCAGUUUAAUAAAAACACCAAAACCUCAUUAGUGUCUCCCUACGUCAGUGUUUUAUAGGGGACUCGCACAUUAGAAGUGAGAUAUUCAGCAAAGCAUUCUCUUUGGGUGGAAUUUUU